rnacentral:tRNA from 1 species
AGGAUUUUAAGUUAAUUAAACUAUAAACCUUCAAAGUUUAAAAUAGGGUAACCCUCAAUCCUA